CCCACCGCCGCUACCGUUCCUUCUUCUCUCCUCUUCCCUCGCUCAACCAUUCUUCUUCUCAAUCACUCAUCCAUGGUUCCUGAUCUGAACCACGCUAUUAGCAGAUCUGAACCCCCUUUUGAAGAAACCCUAAAAGUUCCCCACCGCCGCUAACCUUCGUUCUUCUCUCCUCUGCACUCGCUCAACCAUUCUUCUUCUCCAUCACUCAGCCAUGGUUCCGGAUCUUAACGACGCUAUUAACAGGGUUUAUUCUUCCAUUGUUCAUGUCCAUCAUUCAUCCAUGGUUGAAGAUCUUAACCAGGCGAUUAACAUAUCUGAACCAUCCGUUGAUCAUAUUACUGUUUCUUCGAGCUAUUUGCAUCCUUUUCUGUCUCAGGUUUGAUUCUCCC